GGGGUAUUAGCUCAGUGGUAUGAGCGCCCGCUUUGCAUGCGGGAGGUCCGCGGUUCGAUCCCGUGAUACUCCA